CAGGUUGGAAAGGACCCAUAAGGAGUACUCCCAGUUCUGGGAACCCCAGCACAAGGCAGACAUGGACCUGGUAAAACAGGUGGUAAGACACUAGAAAAGACUGUCCAGAGAAACUGAGGAUGCCCCAUCCCUGGAAGUGCUCAAGACCAAGUUGGAUGGGGCUUUGAGCAACUCAGUCUAGUGAAAGCAAACAUGUUUGCAAGACUCUGAAUUCAGGACAAAGAAGUGAGAAAUAAAGAUUAAC